CAAAGGAAUUACAAAAUUUAAAUAUACAAAGGUUUCCAAUUUCUCAUACAUCCAACCCUUGCCAAGUGCUAGGGUGAGAACCAUUACAAAAGAAUUCAAAGAACUAGACUAAGUUAGUCUAUACAGAGCUCUCGUCCUUGUUCGCAUCUCCUGUUAAGGAAAACAAAAUUAACGGAAUGAGCUAAAAGCUCAGUGAGGUUCCAAACACAUAAACAAACAAUGAGUUCAAUACAUUGACCAUAGAUAGCAAGUAAUUCAAGAAACAUGACAACAUAAAGCAAUAAUAACAUUCAUCAAAAGGAUACGUGCUCACAUGGAGCCAUUCAUUCAUUCAUUCAUUCUCCUUUCAUUUCCUUAUUCCUCCAAUCGUUUGAAAAUGCAUUUGAUAAGUAAAACCCUUCAUUUACAUUGACAUUCAUUCAUUCAUUUCAUUUCACCCCCUCCUGGACGUUGGUCAGGCUCCACCAGACUACAAGGUAAUACUCGAGUAUACCAAACAUUCACUCAGGGUCACUAAAUCGCCCGAUCGAGUCCACUUCUGGCUCGAGUCGAUCAGUAACGAAGGGCAAGGCCCAGUUCAGCCAAGAGGCUUACAUUCAUGCACAUAUAAUCAUUCAAUCAUUGAAAAUUUCACAUUCAUUUAGGUCGAGUGCGAUAAAGUACACACUCGCCUAGAAAGCUCAUUUUAAGCAAUCAGUGGAAGCAUUUAAUAUGUUAGCAUUCAUUCAUAACAAGUCAUAUAAUCAAGAACAAGCCACAUAGUCAAUGAAAAUAUAGCCAACAAGGAACACUUACCUAUUUAAGCAAAAUAGCGUCCAAAGUAUCCUUCCGGAUAACACCCUCAAUCACCAAAGAACUCUAAUAUAAUCAAAAGAACACAUUAUGCUUCAACCAUCAAAGAUUUAAGUGAUUCAAAGAAAAUUUGAAUACGUACUAGUACAAGGUAUAAAUAUGAUUUUGGUAGUGAAAAGAGUACAUUUAAACCAAAGGACAUAAGUAAAAUAUUUGUAAAACCUAUGCUCACUCGUAAAACUUUAAAAUCUCCAUUUGAGUCGAAGUGACAAAGAAAACGUAUUUCUAUUAGUCGUAAAUUUUAUUUUUCUAAGGGUACAAGUUUCGGCCAAGUUCUAACUUAUAUAUCUCAAUAAAAAAAAUGCAAAUAUCCUAAAUGGUUCAAGUGGUAUUCGUUCUCAAAUUCUUACGCAAGUCGCAAGUAUAUCUACCUGGUUCAAGCCCUUUGUAUUUACCUAUUUUCCAGCCAUUUAUGAUUUCAUUCUUUUCCACAAUCAGCCCCAAAGUUAUACACAAAAUUAUCUCAUUUCAAUAGCCGUUCAAUAGGCUCAAAGUCAUACAAGUACAAAAUCAAACUAGGAAAAUAUCCGGAAAUGAAGUUUAAGUUAUAAAAUAAAAGACAGAUUUGCCGUUGCUUAGCGUAACGGGUACAACCAAAGCUACGCUUAUCGGAUUGGGGUGAAAUUUAUACCGUUUUGAAGUUAGGACAAAGGCCUACAACUUUUAUGAAGACCACUCAGUCCAGUUUGUAGUGUAUCUAAGUCAAAGUUGCCAUUUACAGAACCAGAAUCUCACAUUCAGGCUAGUUAACCGCACUAUGCGUAACCGACAAUAACUCAGGCUACCGAAGUCCGAUUAAGGUGUUUUUAGGGCCGUUGGAAAGCUAAGACAUAUUACUACAACUUUCAUGUUUUGGAUAAAUACUAGUUCAGUACAUAUCAUGGUGAAAAGACACGGCCAGAUUGGUGAAAUAUCCAAAACGGAUCACUGGAUUCACCUAGGGCAGUCAGGGUAUUUUGGUCUUUUCAUAGGCUAUGUUACUCCGAUUGAGAUGAAAUUUUGCAGGAAACUAUAAAACAUCAUUCUCUACAACUUUUAUAUUUUAGGCUAAGCCUAAUUCGGCCUCUAACAUGGUGAAUUAGAACCGGGCAGAACAGGGUAUACCUUAACUUCAAUUCUGGAAAUUUGCUACAAUCAAGGUAUAAAUCUCAUUUUUAGCUUGAAACCAUCACUACCACCUCUUAUACCAACUUAUAUACAUCAUAUACCACCCAUACAACAAGUAUGAUAAGUGAAUCAUUCAAACCCUAACUCAAAUUCAUCACCCCAACCAUCUAAAAUCACUUGAUAUAAGCAUUACAACCACAAAUACAAGCUACUAAGCAACUCCAACAUGAUUAAGGAAAAAGAAAAGAGUGGUCAGCCAUAUUACCUCAAAAACAAAGCUUGCUUUCUCCCAAAAUAGCUCCACUCCAGCCCACCUUUCUUCCUUGUGGUAACUUCUUAUGAAUUGGUUUUUGGAUUAGAGAGUGAUUUCCUACUAGUUAUAGCUUGGAAUCAAGGUGAAAUUGGAGCAGUUUUUCUUUCUUUUGUUAUCUUGAAGGUUCGGCCAAGAGAGAUCAAAAUGAGGGAUGGUUGGUGAAAUUUGCAAGAUAAGGACUAGAAGUUUCAUUGGUCAAAGAAUGCCUUGACAAUGUCAACCCUUGGCUUUCCCUCAAUUGUCCUUUAUUUUGGCUUCUUUUCCUUUCUUUUCUAGUCAAGGAUUUCGGCUACCCUUAGCUAAAAUGGAAUCAGAAUUUCGGCCAUCCUUAGCUGAAAUGAAAUCAAGAAUUUUGGUUGAAAUGGAAACUUACUCCAAAGUACUCCAAAGUAAAGACAAGACUAAUGUUAGUCAAGAUCUUGGUCCAAAGUUAGGUAGUUGAUUGAGACUUGUGAAGACAAGACAUAAUGUCUAUUUAUUGACCAAAAUAUCUCUUCUUUUCUCCUUCAAGAAUCGGCCAAGACAAGGAAGAAGUGAAGGAAAAAUGGUGAUGAAAAUGAUAGCUUAGUCUUAGUCAAGUUUUUGUCAAACUUUGUAGGCUUGUUGACCAUUGGCAAUAAAAUGAGAAAUGUCUAUCCCUUUGUCUCCCUUAUUUAUUUAUUUUUUUUAGUAUUUCUAAUCACAUACUUAAUAUCAUCUAAAAUUCACUAUUAAUCACCAAAUUUUAUCGCAUUAGUGGGUCCCACGUCUAUAAUGCGUUUCAAAUUUGACAUACACUAACUCAUACUAGGAAAAUGAUUUUAAAACUGUACUUGCCUGUAAAAAUGCAUAGAAAUUUUAAUAUUUCCAAGGAAAGUAUAAAAUGUAGGCAAAGAAAUAAAAUAAUGUUGAGAAAAUAUGAAAAUUUUUGGGUUCCACACUCUCUCCCCCUUAAGAAAUUUCGUCCUCGAAAUUUUUACCUUCCGUUGCCUCAAAUGACCCCGGAACUUGUUGCUAGUCUACGGCAUAAACCUGUGCUGGUAUUUUCAUUCGGUUCCCUCUUUCAUUAGUUUGUUUUGAUUUGAUUCCUUCCACUUGUUGCGUACUACUCUCUCGUGGCUGUUCCUUCGAGCAAGUGCUAAGUUGAUGAUUGCUAAUCCCACAAAUCAAACACUUUCCCCCUUUUCACCAGCAAUCAUUCUCAGUGUGAUUUGCCUUUCCACAGUAUCCACAUGCCAAUCGAGGAGCUACUGUUUGACCUUCUCGAGAAAUUUCCUUUGAUUCGAUCUGACUUCCUUUCGUAAACCCUUCAUCUAAUGCUCCUAAUGUCCAUGGUGGGUAGGGUAAAGGGUUCACUUUCUGCACUUUGGAAGGUGCUAUCGAUUCACUUGGUUCCUCAGUCACACUACCAGGUGCACCCCUUUUCCGAGUUUGGGAGGCUUUUAUCUGUGCCUUCGCAGCCUCAAUUCUUUGGGCUUUCUCAAGGGCUUCCGUGAAAGUAUUAACUUGAAUCGCCGCUAGAGCUUCUUGAAUUUCUAAAUUCAAUCCCUGUAUAAACCGCUCACCCUUCUUUGUUCCGUGGCCACUAAUUCGGAAGCAAACUUAGACAAUUUGGUAAAUUUCGUUUCAUAUUCGGCCACACUUUGAGUUCCUUGGCGUAAUCCAAUAAACUCAUCCUCCCUCCUUUCUUGGACUAAAGGUGGGAGAUACUUUUCGUUAAAUUCUCUUAAGAAGUUAGCCCAUGUCCAUACGGUUUGUUCUCUUUCCCACUUUGCCUUAAUCACGUUCCACCAUGCUCGGGCCGGUCCUUCAAAUUGAAAUAUCGCAAAGUUCACUUGUCUUUGUUCGUAUAGUUUAAAACUGUAAAGAUGUUGAUCAUGACCUCCAACCACUGUUCAUCUAUGUCCGGAUCAGGCCCUCCAAGGAAUUUCGGAGGGACAAAUUUUUGAAACCUCUCAAGAGCCCGAUCUUCUCCUAUCUCAGGGUUCUAGGAUUGAUUCACAGGCAUUUGACCUUGUUGGUCCACCAAUCUUGCUAAAAUAUUUGUCAUUUGUUGUAUAGCCGUCGCCAUUUGGUCCCUGGCUUCAACCCUCGUUCCUCGUUCUAGCUCAGCUAUUGUUUCCCUUUUGUCUCUUGGCUCUAGAGCUCGCUUAGUCCCACGACUACGACCACGACCACGACCACGUCCACGUCUCCCUUCCAUACCCUUUUCUCUCUCUCUCUCUCUCUCUCUUUUCUUUUUCAAAAGUAAUUUAAUGGAUAAACGGAGUAAAUUAACUAAAAUAACAAAUUCGAACACACCAAUUAUACAAAUAAACAUAAACACGACAUGAUACAACAUAUACACAAAGAGACAUAUCAAGUUCAACAGAUAAUCAAAAGUAGUCAAUAUUACACAGGUAACAUACCACAAACAAAAGUCAUGUAAUAACAUUACAAGGGCCAAUCAAAAGAAAAGGCGAUAUAUCAUCCCAUACGCAGUUAAGAUAACCCCGUCCGGUCUCUCACAUCACUUUCUAUUCAAACUAAACGUCCGUUGACUUCUUGUACUCAUUCUAGUCAAACAAAGCCUGUUAAUGUUUCCAAACUGCAAGUUUUAAGCACUUAGUACCGCUUCAACUCUGGAGUACUCGGGCACUAGAAUCCGAAAUAAAAUAAUUCACAUCUCGAGCUGGCCAGUCCCAAGAGUAAACUAUUUACAAUCGAGAUUCCUAUCUGACAUACCUAUCAAUGGUCCUCAAAUACUGGGAGAAAGAUUUAAGACCUAUAACAAUUCAUGACUCCAUAGUUUAAGCUCAACGAGCACUUAAUCCUUCAUACUCAUUCACCACUUAACCCGAUCUCACUCCGCGCAGAGACCACGCGAAACAGGCUCUGAUACCAACUGUGACGGCCCCACCUUCCCCUAAGGCAAACCAAAGGAUUUGGCGGACCGCCUGCCCAACUCUCGUUGGAACUCAGUCAUUCACCUCAAGGAAUUGAAGAUAAAAUUUACAAAACAAGCGAAUAACGAUCCCAAACUUAAAACAUAAACUUAUAUACAUUCCAAUCUCCAAAGAAAUUACAAAAUUUAAAUAUACAAAGGUUCCCAAUUUCUCAUUCAUCCAACCCUUGCCAAGUACUAGGGCGAGAACCAUUACAAAAAAAUUCAAAGAACUAGACUAAAUUAGUCUAUACAGAGCUCUCAUCCUUGCUCGCAUCCCUUGUUAAGCAAAACAAAACUAACGGAAUGAGUUAAAAGGUCAGUGAGGUUCCAAACAUAUAAACAAACAAUGAGUUCAAUACAUUGACCAUAGAUAACAAGUAAUUCAAGAAACAUGACAAUAUAAAGCAAUAAUAACAUUCAUUAAAAGGAUACGUGCUCACAUAGAUCCAUUCAUUCAUUCAUUCUCCUUUCAUUUCCUUAUUCCUCCAAUCGUUUGAAAAUGCAUUUUGAUAAGCAAAACCCUUCAUUUACAUUUACAUUCAUUCAUUCAUUUCAUUUCACCCUCUCCUGGACGUUGGUCAGGCUCCACCAGACUAUAAGGUAAUACUCGAGUAUACCAAACGUUCACCCAGGGUCACUAAAUCGCCCGACCGAGUCCGCUUCUGGCUUGAGUCGAUCAGUGACGAAGGGCAAGGCCCAAUUCAGCCAAGAGGCUUACAUUCAUGCAUAUAUAAUCAUUCAAUCAUUGAAAAUUUUACAUUCAUUUAGGUCGAGUGCGAUAAAGUACACACUCGCCUAGAAAGUUCAUUUUAAGCAAUCAGUGGAAGCAUUUAACAUGUUAUUAUUCAUUCAUAACAAGUCAUAUAAUCAAGAACAAGCCACAUAGUCAAUGAAAAUAUAGCCAACAAGGAACACUCACCUAUUUAAGCAAAAUAACGUCUAAAGUUUCUUUCCGGAUAACACCCUCAAUCACCAAGGAACCCUAAUAUAAUCAAAAGAACACAUUAUACUUCAACCAUCAAAGAUUUAAGUGAUUCAAAGAAAAUUCGAAUACGUACUAGUACAAGGUAUAAAUAUGGUUUUGGUAGUGAAAAGAGUGCAUUUAAACCAAAGGACAUAAGUAAAAUAUUUGUAAAACUUAUGCUCACUCGUAAAACUUUAAAAUCUCCAUUUGAGUCGAAGUGACAAAGAAAACGUAUUUCUAUUAGUCAUAAAUUUCAUUUUUCUAAGGGUACAAGUUUCGGCCAAAUUCUAACUUAU
rnacentral:lncRNA from 1 species